rnacentral:rRNA from 1 species
UACGUAGGGGGCAAGCGUUAUCCGGAUUUACUGGGUGUAAAGGGAGCGUAGACGGCAGGGCAAGUCUGGAGUGAAAGGCAGGGGCCCAACCCCUGGACUGCUCUGGAAACUGUCCGGCUGGAGUGCAGGAGAGGUAAGUGGAAUUCCUAGUGUAGCGGUGAAAUGCGUAGAUAUUAGGAGGAACACCAGUGGCGAAGGCGGCUUACUGGACUGUAACUGACGUUGAGGCUCGAAAGUGUGGGGAGCAAACAGG